rnacentral:rRNA from 1 species
AUGGGGGCAAAUGCCAACUUGGAUACUAUUUUCCCACACAAUAGUUAUGGCACUCUUUUUUUUUCCACAAACGCAUCGCCUGCUGAAUGCAUCAUGAUGUUUAAAAUUAGAUAUAUGGGCAAUGAUGUAAUAGACCAUAAGAAUAGAAAAUCACUCUCUUUAUUUCCUUCGUUCUAUUCCUUUGAGAAUAUACAAAAGGUUGGGGUGUUCAAACUUUACAGAGUAAUCAUAGAGGUAGGUCAUUUUGAUGAUACAUUAGUAUCUUCUAGGCAAAUAUUAGGGUGCUCUUUAUACCUAAGCCAGGUUGACACCUAA